UCCAAAGGAGGCGACGUAAUCAGGAAAAUUGGACCCUAUGAGGACUCCAAGGAUUUGCUCAGAGAGAAGACUGCAGUUGCUGAUGUUGUUUAUUCUGUAACGGUGACAUUCAGAGUAGAAAACACAGUAUGUAUAUAAAGCACUACCAGUGGCAAUGAUGGAGAAAAACUGUUUGAAAGCCCAUCCUUUUUUUCAUAAUGCUAAGAAAACAAAAUGGAGACUUCAGACUAAAGACAUUUAAACAUGUGGCUAUGGAGAAACUGUAAAUUUACAAAAGAAGAAGCAACUUUCAAAGUCAAGGAGAAUUCAUUUAUGGAGUCAUCCGAGUUCCCAAGAAUACACCUAAACCAGGGCUGUCAAACUCAGAUCCUGGACGGCCACUGUGGCUGCAAGUUAGAGCUCUCAAUCUUAAAAGACAAGGCGAUUUAAAAUUAAGGCAAAAGAGGUCUGCUCUAUCAGUAGCAGGAAUUUAUUACUAAUUAAGAGUGAAAACCUGCAGCCACUGUCGCUGUCUAGGAUCUCAGUUGGACAUCUCGACAUGGACCACGACAUGGAAAAUAAAACCGUUCUCCAAGCAGAGGCAGCACUCACAUUACUU